rnacentral:rRNA from 1 species
AAAUUGAAGAGUUUGAUCAUGGCUCAGAUUGAACGCUGGCGGCAGGCCUAACACAUGCAAGUCGAACGGUAACAGGAAUCAGCUUGCUGAUUCGCUGACGAGUGGCGGACGGGUGAGUAAUGUCUGGGAAACUGCCUGAUGGAGGGGGAUAACUACUGGAAACGGUAGCUAAUACCGCAUAACGUCGCAAGACCAAAGAGGGGGACCUUCGGGCCUCUUGCCAUCGGAUGUGCCCAGAUGGGAUUAGCUGGUAGGUGGGGUAACGGCUCACCUAGGCGACGAUCCCUAGCUGGUCUGAGAGGAUGACCAGCCACACUGGAACUGAGACACGGUCCAGACUCCUACGGGAGGCAGCAGUGGGGAAUAUUGCACAAUGGGCGCAAGCCUGAUGCAGCCAUGCCGCGUGUAUGAAGAAGGCCUUCGGGUUGUAAAGUACUUUCAGCGGGGAGGAAGGGAGUAAAGUUAAUACCUUUGCUCAUUGACGUUACCCGCAGAAGAAGCACCGGCUAACUCCGUGCCAGCAGCCGCGGUAAUACGGAGGGUGCAAGCGUUAAUCGGAAUUACUGGGCGUAAAGCGCACGCAGGCGGUUUGUUAAGUCAGAUGUGAAAUCCCCGGGCUCAACCUGGGAACUGCAUCUGAUACUGGCAAGCUUGAGUCUCGUAGAGGGGGGUAGAAUUCCAGGUGUAGCGGUGAAAUGCGUAGAGAUCUGGAGGAAUACCGGUGGCGAAGGCGGCCCCCUGGACGAAGACUGACGCUCAGGUGCGAAAGCGUGGGGAGCAAACAGGAUUAGAUACCCUGGUAGUCCACGCCGUAAACGAUGUCGACUUGGAGGUUGUGCCCUUGAGGCGUGGCUUCCGGAGCUAACGCGUUAAGUCGACCGCCUGGGGAGUACGGCCGCAAGGUUAAAACUCAAAUGAAUUGACGGGGGCCCGCACAAGCGGUGGAGCAUGUGGUUUAAUUCGAUGCAACGCGAAGAACCUUACCUGGUCUUGACAUCCACGGAAGUUUUCAGAGAUGAGAAUGUGCCUUCGGGAACCGUGAGACAGGUGCUGCAUGGCUGUCGUCAGCUCGUGUUGUGAAAUGUUGGGUUAAGUCCCGCAACGAGCGCAACCCUUAUCCUUUGUUGCCAGCGGUCCGGCCGGGAACUCAAAGGAGACUGCCAGUGAUAAACUGGAGGAAGGUGGGGAUGACGUCAAGUCAUCAUGGCCCUUACGACCAGGGCUACACACGUGCUACAAUGGCGCAUACAAAGAGAAGCGACCUCGCGAGAGCAAGCGGACCUCAUAAAGUGCGUCGUAGUCCGGAUUGGAGUCUGCAACUCGACUCCAUGAAGUCGGAAUCGCUAGUAAUCGUGGAUCAGAAUGCCACGGUGAAUACGUUCCCGGGCCUUGUACACACCGCCCGUCACACCAUGGGAGUGGGUUGCAAAAGAAGUAGGUAGCUUAACCUUCGGGAGGGCGCUUACCACUUUGUGAUUCAUGACUGGGGUGAAGUCGUAACAAGGUAACCGUAGGGGAACCUGCGGUUGGAUCACCUCCUUACCUUAAAGAA